rnacentral:lncRNA from 1 species
AGAUAUUGUGAUAAAGGAGUCUCUGUGAUUUGGACUUUCCAUGGAUCCUCAAAGGAAGAGGGUCUAUCAGCUCACAGGGAAAAAGAACUGUUUUGUCACAGGAACAAAGUAUAGAAUCUUCUAUAUGGAAAAAAAAUUUUGAAAAGACUCCCACUAACAAUGCAUUUUAAUUUUGAAUAAAAGUGCUCCAGAGCACUGCAGAAAAGCAGAGUCAACACAUCUUUGUUAUUUUUCCCCUAAGGGUUUUUAUACAUAGGAGCAAUCCCCAUCCAGACAGAACCAGCCAAUGUAAAAAUAAUAAUAAUUAAAAGUGAUCUCUGAUUUGAUCAAUCCAAAAAGCUGCUCUCCACUUCCUCCUCCCACCCGCACUGUUAAUAGCCUGUACCUAUGCCCUGACCAGGCACUCUUCUGGCACCCUUUUGAAACUAUAACUUGUGGCAGCCACUAGAACCAGGUUACAAAGGAAAAGCAGGCAACCCAAACUAAAAACAGCAAGAUCUUGAGGCAAGAAGGGAGAAAGAGUUUGGAAGGAGGAGCUGGGGAGAAUUGAACAAGCUAUUGAACACAGUACAAAAGGUGGUAGGGAAGGAGGCAUGGAAGAAGGUUCAGCAAAUAGGAAUGGAUUGAGGAAUCUAAAAAAGAGAAGGAAAAAGAGACGUAAGGGAAGCAAGGAAAGCAGAAGUGGGGGAGGAGGGUGAAAGGGAAGAAGGGAGAGAGAAAGACAGACAGAGAGACAGAGAGACAGACAGAAACAGAGAGAGUAUUGGAAGAAAGAAGUGAAAGAAUAAGUGAAUCUGGGGUAAAGGAGAGGGAGGAAGAAAGGAGUUUGGAUUGAAAGAUGAAUAGACUGGAAGAUGGAAGUGGGAGGUAGCUUAAUAAGGGAGAUAAAUAAAACAGUAAGAAAAAUAGAAAGGAGACCUGAAGAGUCCAUGCCCCGGGAGAAAAGGAGGAGGAGGAGGAGAGCAUGCUGUGCAGCUAGGGAGGUGCUUGAAACAGCUUUUGUGACUCCUCCCCUGGUAAAGCUCGGCUCCCAGCCUUCCAGAGCAAAGUCAGUCCAACUGACUCCUACUGGCUUUGAGACUGGUUCACCCACUGGACAGGACUUAACAAAAGCGGGGACAAAAGCAAAGGGUUUAACCUCGCGCCCGCCCGUGCUCCGCUAUCGUGAUCAUUUCAGAACUUCCCGGGACUGUUCUCUACCUACCCACUCCCCAGAAUCUUCUGACCCAGAAAAAGAGAGUGGAACCCCUCCUCCCAGGAUGCCUGCAGUUAAAGUGCUUCCCAAAGCAGAGAGUGUCACAAUAGGUCUCCUGAAGUUCCACAAUUGAAGUUGUCUGAACUUGCAGGAAAAGAUGUUCAGUUAAAAAGCAAUGAAGCUUUUGGAAUUCAGAAAUCCUGUAACCCUACAUUGUGACUGAUGAGCAUAUAAACACCAAAAAGACCAGAAUAUUUUUACAAAUUCGUAAGUGACCUAGAACAAAGCCCCCACUAUAUAUCUAAUUUUUUUAAUUUAAUUUUUUUUUUAGGCAAUUGGGGUUAAGUGACUUGCCCAGGGUCACACAGCUAGUAAGUGUCAAGUGUUUGGUCUGAGGCUGGAUUUGAACUCAGGUCCUCCUGACUUCAGGGCCGGUGCUCUAUCCACUGUACCACCUAGCUGCCCCUCCACUAUGUAUCUAAGAAUGACCUUGGCAUAGCUUUAUAAAUCCUAGUAGGGUUUUAUAGACCAUUAAAACCUGUUGGGUUUUUCCUUUGCUUCUAAUGCCCUCAGCCUGAAUCAAAAUAUAAGACUCUUACUUCCUUCAAAGGGAAAUCAGUAAAGUCAUUAUAAAAUUGGCAGUCAUUGAAAUGCCCUAUACUUCUCAGUGAUGGUGGUGACCUCAGUGGAUGAAACCUCCAAAUCUGGCAUAUUUUAAAAAUGCCAGGCCCAGCAAGGAAAGAAGAGUCA